rnacentral:rRNA from 1 species
GACGAACGCUGGCGGCGUGCUUAACACAUGCAAGUCGAACGGACAGACAGAGAGCUUGCUCUCUUGAAGUUAGUGGCGAACGGGUGAGUAGCGCGUAUUCAACCUGCCCUUCAGAGGGGGAUAACAACGGGAAACCGUUGCUAAUACCGCGUACGAUUCAUGAACGGCAUCGUUUAUGAAUGAAAGGUGGCCUCUAUGUAUAAGCUAUCGCUGAAGGUGGGGAUUGCGUCUGAUUAGCUAGUUGGAGGGGUAACGGCCCACCAAGGCAAUGAUCAGUAGCCGGUCUGAGAGGAUGAACGGCCACAUUGGGACUGAGACACGGCCCAAACUCCUACGGGAGGCAGCAGUGGGGAAUCUUCCGCAAUGGACGAAAGUCUGACGGAGCAACGCCGCGUGAGUGAUGAAGGUCUUCGGAUUGUAAAGCUCUGUUAAUCGGGACGAAAGAGUUCUGCGUGAAUAAUGCAGAAAAGUGACGGUACCGGAAUAGAAAGCCACGGCUAACUACGUGCCAGCCGCCGCAGUAA